CCGACUUUAGCUCAGUUGGUAGAGCGGAGGACUGUAGUAUGAUACUGAAAUCCUUAGGUCGCUGGUUCGAAUCCGGCAAGUCGGA
rnacentral:tRNA from 1 species